rnacentral:rRNA from 1 species
GAGUUUGAUCCUGGCUCAGAUUGAACGCUGGCGGCAUGCCUUACACAUGCAAGUCGAACGGCAGCACGGGAGCUUGCUCCUGGUGGCGAGUGGCGAACGGGUGAGUAAUGCAUCGGAACGUAUCCUGGAGUGGGGGAUAACGUAGCGAAGUUACGCUAAUACCGCAUAUUCUGUGAGCAGGAAAGCGGGGGACCUUCGGGCCUCGCGCUCGUUGGAGCGGCCGAUGUCGGAUUAGCUAGUUGGUGAGGUAAAGGCUCACCAAGGCGACGAUCCGUAGCAGGUCUGAGAGGAUGAUCUGCCGACACUGGAACUGAGGACACGGUCCAGACUCCUACGGAGGCAGCAGUGGG